rnacentral:rRNA from 1 species
UACGGAGGGUGCAAGCGUUAUUCGGAAUUACUGGGCGUAAAGCGCACGUAGGCGGCCUUGUAAGUCAGGGGUGAAAUCCCACGGCUCAACCGUGGAACUGCCUUUGAAACUGCAGGGCUUGAAUCCUGGAGAGGGUGGCGGAAUUCCUGGUGUAGGAGUGAAAUCCGUAGAUAUCAGGAGGAACACCGGUGGCGAAGGCGGCCACCUGGACAGGUAUUGACGCUGAGGUG